AAAAAAUUAAACCUAAAACUAAAAUGUUACUUUGUCUCUUGAGACAGAAAAUAUAGCAGCGAGCGCGGUUUGAAGUGAUCCAGUAGGAAAUGGAUGGUUCUAGAAAAAGGGAAGGAACCACUAAAGUGCUUGUCCUUUGUCAGAUCAAUGGUGCUUCAUUUGUUCUAAAUCAUUCCUUGAGGACAGGGAUGCCAAUGCCCUGGGUCCAAAGGCAUGCUGGCUGGAGACAAAUUGGAAAGUCUACUUGUGUCCACAAGGGGGAGUAGUUGAGGGCAUGCAGCAGCUGAUCUGGAGACGUCCUUCUCUAAGGACAGCCAAUGUACAGAGAGCCAGAUGGUGCAUGGGUGCACACGAGGGAGCUGUGGAAGCGCUAGGCAUUGGCCGUUUCCUGAAGAUGCCCAUCAACCUAACAUUCACUGGACUAUCUGAAGAGGACUUGACCCAAACCCCAAUCUCAAUGCGUUAGUAAACCAUAAAUGGAACCAACUUUCCAAGACGAAGGAAGAGGAACUACUGAAACUGUAUGAUCUGAAGCCAAAACUGUAUGUUUUAUGAAACUGUUGAACUGAAACAAAGCCAGAU